GAUGAACGCUGGCGGCGUGCUUAACACAUGCAAGUCGAACGGAAAGGCUCCUGCUUGCAGGGGUACUCGAGUGGCGAACGGGUGAGUAACACGUGGGUGAUCUGCCCUGCACUUCGGGAUAAGCCUGGGAAACUGGGUCUAAUACCGGAUAGGACGAUGGUUUGGAUGCCAUUGUGGAAAGUUUUUUCGGUGUGGGAUGAGCUCGCGGCCUAUCAGCUUGUUGGUGGGGUAAUGGCCUACCAAGGCGUCGACGGGUAGCCGGCCUGAGAGGGUGUACGGCGACAUUGGGACUGAGAUACGGACCAGACUCCUACGGGAGGCAGCAGUGGGGAGUAUUGCACAAUGGGCGCAAGCCUGAUGCAGCGACGCCGCGUGGGGGAUGACGGCCUUCGGGUUGUAAACUACUUUCGCUAGGGACGAAGCGCAAGUGACGGUACCUGGAGAAGAAGCACCGGCUAACUACGUG
rnacentral:rRNA from 1 species